rnacentral:rRNA from 1 species
AUUGAACGCUGGCGGCAUGCCUUACACAUGCAAGUCGAACGGUAACAGGUUAAGCUGACGAGUGGCGAACGGGUGAGUAAUAUAUCGGAACGUGCCCAGUAGUGGGGGAUAGCCCGGCGAAAGCCGGAUUAAUACCGCAUACGACCUACGGGUGAAAGCGGGGGAUCGCAAGACCUCGCGCUAUUGGAGCGGCCGAUAUCAGAUUAGGUAGUUGGUGGGGUAAAAGCCCACCAAGCCGACGAUCUGUAGCUGGUCUGAGAGGACGACCAGCCACACUGGGACUGAGACACGGCCCAGACUCCUACGGGAGGCAGCAGUGGGGAAUUUUGGACAAUGGGCGCAAGCCUGAUCCAGCCAUGCCGCGUGCGGGAAGAAGGCC